UACGUAGGGCGCAAGCGUUGUUCGGAAUUACUGGGCGUAAAGCGCACGUAGGCGGAUAUUUAAGUUAGGGGUGAAAUCCCAGGGCUCAACCCUGGAACUGCCUUUAAUACUGGGUAUCUCGAGUCCGAGAGAGGUGAGUGGAAUUCCGAGUGUAGAGGUGAAAUUCGUAGAUAUUCGGAGGAACACCAGUGGCGAAGGCGGCUCACUGGCUCGGUACUGACGCUGAGGUGCGAAAGCGUGGGGAGCAAACAGG
rnacentral:rRNA from 1 species